UCAGGGUUAGGGUUGGUGGAUACAGGCUCAGAGGACAGCUGGUGACCAGGGCAGCAGAGGCGAAGCUAUACUUUCAUCAAAGGCGCCUCUUCUGUGCAGCCCUCCGGGAUUAUCCUCCUAUCUCCUCCUAUCUCGGGUUGGCUGCACUCUGUCUGUCUGUGAGCUGACCCCUUAUCCCUUCACCAUACCGAGUAGUUGGUUGGGCAUGUCCUCAGAGCCACAAGGAAAGGUCCCCUCACUGGAGAACAGGGACUGUUCUUAACGACAUCUGCUUCUGUGUGGGAUGAUGGGGGGCCGAGAACUGGGAGAACAGAAGCAGCCAGACCCCCUCAGCUCCUGGGUGAUCCUGUACACAGGAUCCUGUGCAACUUUUCUUCACGCCACGGAUAUCAAAUCUGUCCCUCCUUCCGUGAGCAGCCACAGUUGUCAGCCUGGGCACCCUGGGACCCUGAUUCUCAUCACCGCCACUCCUGGUCACCACAAUUCCACACAUGAUGGCAGUCAAAUGUCUCCCCCCACCCAGAAGUGAGACUCAGAGUCUAACUGAAGAAGCCCAGGUGUUGAGGUUAUGUCUCUUGCUAUGAACUGUAAUGCUAAAUUUUGUACCUUAAGGUCUAUCUAGGCCUACGAGUGGUUUCUCAUACUUACCAGCUUUUGUUGUGCAAACCUUGUUCCUUAAUUUAAAACCACUGGUUAAAUACAAAUGGCUACAGCCAAUCACUGGAGGUAGGAGGGUUUUGGAGUUACCUGGGUGGCCGUGGAGAGCAGGGGGGAAGAGAAGACGCCAUGGGAUAAGGGAUUGUGAGACCUGGCCAUGAGGGCUGGCCACUGGGGUGCCGGGCGGGGAGCUCACCAAGUCGGGGAAGAACGCUACUGCCUUCCUCUUCUCCGUCUUGAAGAGCUGCGGGAUGUCGAUGAUGUCACCCUCCGCCAGGCCCAGCUCCCGCUUCAGUACCUCGCGGUUCCAGUCGAUACAGCUCUGGUAGGGAGGACAAGGGACCGCGCUGGAGAGAACCUACUGGUGUGGCUGAGGCAGGUGCUCACUCCUGCCUAGAUCCCACCCUCCAUGUCCCGCUCUUACUAGCUAACACUGAGUUAACCCUAGAUCAUACCAUCCUAGACCCAACUUUCGAGAAAGCAUUCCAUACAUGGUUGAAGAGUCACCUGUCCAAUAAUGUGUGUGCAGUACCCAUGCAGGCCAGAAGAGGGCAGCGGAUCCCCAGGCCAAAGGUUAAAGGAGGGUCUGGGCCUGUUUCAAUCUGACUGACCUUUUGUGAACUGCUGGUCCCAGAUGUCUGCCCUUGGCCCUGACUCCAGCUCCAUCCACAUCUCCCACCCACAACCCCCGCACCCCCUGGCCUUUGUA